rnacentral:rRNA from 1 species
UGCAAGGUAGCAAUAUUUUGCAGUUGGAGCGGCGCAAGGGUGCGUAACACGUGGGUAAUCUGCCAGGAAGUCUGGAAUAACUUGCUGAAAGGCGAGCUAAUACCGGAUGUGACCAAUGGGGAGCAUUUCUCGUUGGUUAAAGUUGGGGACCGCAAGGCCUGACGCUUCCUGAUGAGCCCGCGGCCUAUCAGCUAGUUGGUGAGGUAACGGCUCACCAAGGCAAAGACGGGUAGCUGGUCUGAGAGGACGACCAGCCACACUGGAACUGAGACACGGUCCAGACACCUACGGGUGGCAGCAGUCGAGAAUUUUUCACAAUGGGGGAAACCCUGAUGGAGCGACGCCGCGUGGGGGAUGAAUGGCUUCGGCCCGUAAACCCCUGUCAUUUGCGAUCAACCGUUAGUAUUUAAAAGAUGCUGACCUGAUGGUAGCGAAAGAGGAAGGGACGGCUAACUCUGUGCCAGCAGCCGCGGUAAUACAGAGGUCCCGAGCGUUGUUCGGAUUCACUGGGCGUAAAGGGUGCGUAGGUGGUGGGGUAAGUCGGAUGUGAAAUCUCGGAGCUCAACUCCGAAACGGCAUUGGAAACUGCCCUGCUAGAGGUUUGGAGGGGGGACUGGAAUUCUCGGUGUAGCA